GACGAACGCUGGCGGCGUGCUUAACACAUGCAAGUCGAACGGUGAACUCCGCUUGCGGGGGGAUCAGUGGCGAACGGGUGAGUAAAACGUGGGCAACCUGCCCUCAGCUCUGGGAUAACUCCAAGAAAUUGGGGCUAAUACCGGAUAUGACCGCUGACCGCAUGGUCUGGUGGUGGAAAGAUUUAUCGGCUGGGGAUGGGCCCGCGGCCUAUCAGCUUGUUGGUGGGGUAGUGGCCUACCAAGGCGACGACGGGUAGCCGGCCUGAGAGGGUGACCGGCCACACUGGGACUGAGACACGGCCCAGACUCCUACGUGAGGCAGCAGUGGGGAAUAUUGCGCAAUGGGCGAAAGCCUGACGCAGCGACGCCGCGUGGGGGAUGACGGCCUUCGGGUUGUAAACCUCUUUCAGCAGGGACGAAGCGAAAGUGACGGUACCUGCAGAAGAAGCACCGGCCAACUACGUG
rnacentral:rRNA from 1 species